GAUGAACGCUGGCGGCGUGCCUAAUACAUGCAAGUCGAGCGAACGGACGAGAAGCUUGCUUCUCUGAUGUUAGCGGCGGACGGGUGAGUAACACGUGGAUAACCUACCUAUAAGACUGGGAUAACUUCGGGAAACCGGAGCUAAUACCGGAUGAUAUUUUGAACCGCAUGGUUCAAAAGUGAAAGACGGUCUUGCUGUCACUUAUAGAUGGAUCCGCGCUGCAUUAGCUAGUUGGUAAGGUAACGGCUUACCAAGGCAACGAUGCAUAGCCGACCUGAGAGGGUGAUCGGCCACACUGGAACUGAGACACGGUCCAGACUCCUACGGGAGGCAGCAGUAGGGAAUCUUCCGCAAUGGGCGAAAGCCUGACGUAGCAACGCCGCGUGAGUGAUGAAGGUCUUCGGAUCGUAAAACUCUGUUAUUAGGGAAGAACAUAUGUGUAAGUAACUGUGCACAUCUUGACGGUACCUAAUCAGAAAGCCACGGCUAACUACGUG
rnacentral:rRNA from 1 species